GUGCUCACUUUGGGAGCACAUAUACUAAAAUUGGAACAGUACAGAGAAGAUUAGCAUGGCCCCUGAGUAAGAAUGACAUGCAAAUUUGUGAAGCAUUCCAUAUAUUU
rnacentral:snRNA from 1 species